rnacentral:rRNA from 1 species
GAAUUUUAUAGCCUAAAUUAUUAAAAAAUAGUUAGGGGUAUUUGAUUGGGAGGAUGAUUAAAUUAAUAAAACUUUAAUAAAAAAAAAAUAAACUAAAGUUAUAGGAAUUAAAUAAUUGAAUGAUAAUAAUUAUAAAAGAAUUAAUUACCUUAGGGAUAACAGCAUAAUAUUUUUUUAUAGUCCAUAUAAAAAAAAAUGUUUAU